CCUACGGGAGGCAGCAGUAGGGAAUCUUUCACAAUGGGCGAAAGCCUGAUGGAGCAACGCCGCGUGCAGGAUGAAGGCCUUCGGGUUGUAAACUGCUUUUAUAAGCGAGAAAUAUGAUGGUAACUUAUGAAUAAGGAUCGGCUAACUACGUGCCAGCAGCCGCGGUCAUACGUAGGAUCCGAGCAUUAUCCGGAGUGACUGGGUGUAAAGAGUUGCGUAGGUGGCAUAAUAAGUAGCUAGUGAAAUCUGGUGGCUCAACCAUUCAGACUAUUAGCUAAACUGUUAAGCUCGAGACAGUUAGGGGUAACUGGAAUUUCUAGUGUAGGAGUGAAAUCCGUAGAUAUUAGAAGGAACACCAAUAGCGUAGGCAGGUUGCUGGGACGGUUCUGACACUAAGGCACGAAAGCGUAGGGAGCAAACGGGAUUAGAUACCCCUGUAGUC
rnacentral:rRNA from 1 species